AUGAAAUGGAAGGGGAGGAGAGAGAAUGCAAAAACGCAUUCAUUAAUAUUUUUCAAUGGCGGUGAUCAACAAUGGAAAAGACGGAGGAUGCUGCAGAUUCUGGUGGAAUAUUGGAAUGUGGCUACAGUUAGCUAUUGGGUAGGUGCUGAUGUAAUUUCUGGAGUUGGACAUGUGCAAGAUUAAACUUCUAGAUGAUCUUGAACUUCAAACUGGCCUUAGAUUUCGUUUAGGAUCCAACACUAAUCCAACACCUGAGGAAAGUGAAGUGGAAGAUCGAGACCCUAGUGAAAGGUCAGGUUAUUAAGACUUCAAGUGUCCCUGAGAAGGACGAACUGAAGGGACGAAAACACCAAUUAGAAGCCAAAUUCAGUGUAAUUCAUGGGACUUGG